rnacentral:ncRNA from 21 species
GGGCCGUGGUGGACUGCCGGAGCCAAUUACGGCGGCAGGAGAGGAAGCCGGUGCGAAUCCGGCGCGGUCCCGCCACUGUCACCGGGUGAUCCGAACACGGUCCCCGGGAGCCAGGAACUCUCACCGCCGGUCUCGUCGAACCA